GUCAAGAUGCCCGAGUGGUCCAAGGGGUUAGACUCAAGUUCUAAUAGUCAGUAGACUGCGUGGGUUCGAACCCCACUCUUGAUA